AAAGACCCAUUACACUAAAAGAACGGGAAAAAAUAAAAAUAAAAAAGGAACCCCAACUCCGUUACUUUCUCUUUUUUGUUCCUACUUCUUCUUCACGAUUUCAGCUUCAAACUCAGUAUGAAAGUCAAAAUGUUUGCAUCUAGAAGUUGUUUGAAGGUUGCCGGUGGAGGGAUUAAAUACAAUGCUGGCACAUCAAGCAAUUUGCCUUCGACCCACGACACAAAUGAUGAUGAUUUCGAGUCCCCUGUUGUUCUUACAAAGAGUUGUCAACAAGAAAGAACCCGAAUCACUAGAUCGCAGAUGAAGAAAUUUGAUAAUUUUGUGAAGAAUAUCAAGCCGAGGACUAAGAAAUGUGGUCGGCCUGAGAAAGUUAAAGUAAAGUUGAAACUUGUUGAUGAAGAUGAGGCUGCCAAAAAGAAAAAGAAAAAAAAGAGAAAGGUCGUCAAUGUUGUUGAAUGUAGUUCUUAUGCAUUAUCAAAAGAACAAAGGGAAUCUAUUUGAUGUAAAUUUAUUGAAAGAAAAUCUCAGUUGAAGGUUGGUGACUUCUAUAUACAACCGAAUGAACAUUUUCAGACUAGGAUUAGUUGUCAUACCAAUUCUGAUAUUGUCGGCUUUUGAGGAAUACUUGAGUGAUACGCAGCUUCAAAUCUUCCGUGAUAGUUGUUUUGGAUAUUUCUUAGACAUGCCUCCUUUUAAGAUUCAGAACCAGCUUAUACAUUGCAUUUUACUGAGGGAGGUUGUCCUCGGUGUGUUAAGAGAGUUGUGGAUUAAACUCAAUGAUUGUAUAUUGAGUUUUGGUAUUGGAGAGUUCUUGUUAUUACCGGUUUGAAGUGUGUUGAAGAUGAUGCAACUAUGUAUGUCAAACCAAGCACCAGUAGGUUGAUGGAAACUUAUUUUCCAGAAAACACAUCAAUAACGAGGGAGCAGUUGCUUAUUCGCUUUAAGGAAAAGGAAUGGAAGUCGGAUGAUGAUGAUGCGUUCAAGAUGGGUUUGAUGGUAUUCAUCCACCAUUUCUUAUUCUCGGAUACCAAUGAUCACUCUAUCACCAAAGCAGAUUUUGAUAUUAUUGAAAGUGGCGAAUAUCAGACUUAUGUUUGGGGAAAAAAAUGCUUUGAAGAGAUUCUCAAAACAACAAGGGAUAAACAAUGUGAGUUUUUGACAAUGUACAGGCUUGGAGGGUUCCCGCUUACACUACAGACUUGGUUUUUUGAAUGUUGCUCUACAGUCGAUAAAAAGCUCGUUGUUCGUGUUGGCAAUAAUGUGCCACGUAUUCUUAACUGGAAAGUGACUAAUUCUCCGACGUAUACGUUCUUGACUGAUGAUGCGCUCAUGCCUAGUAUCGACAAAAUGAAGUACUGCAACAUUUCUCAUACCACUGAGGAAAAAAUAAACUUGAAAAUUGCUGCAUUCUUUGAAGAUAUCAAUGCCGAUCAUGUUUCUUCAUAGGGUUUUCCCCUUUUUCAGAAUGAAGAUUCUAACAUUUCACCCCUACCACCUCCUCAGAAUAUGAAGCAGCCUAAACAAACUCAUCCUCAAAAUAAGAAGCAACAACCCGUAUUGAGAUGCGAUCCUUCCUGGAGCAGUGAUGGGUUGACAGCUGAAGUUGCUCAGUUGAGGAGUGACGUUUCAGAGGUAUUGCAUCUUUGAUAUCUUUCUUACUGGUAAAGUUGAGGCGCUGAACACUUACAUCGUAUCUUCCUUUGGAAUCAUAUUCAAGCAUCUGAAAAUUAAGCAACCGUGUGAUCAAGGCAAUGCUGAUGAGGACGGUUCAUCUAAUCAAGGCAAUGAUGGGUUUAGCAAUAAUGAUUAUGUUCCACCUCCUUCCCUCCUCUCCCCUCCCGAACAAGCGCAUGAUCUAAAUAUGCAAGGUGACUAACCAAAGUGUCAAGGGAAAUGAAGAGGGUACUGAUGCCCCCCCCCCCCCCACCCUGAGCAAGUGUUGACCUAAACUUGUGAUCUGACCAAAAUGCAUCAUGUUUCAAGGGAAAUCAGCAAAUUACUGAUGGUCUUCCUGCAAGUGAUGGUGUUGAGCCCCCCGAGCAAGUGCAUGAAGUAAACAUGCAACCUGACCAAACAAAAUCAAGUGUCAAGGAAAAUGAGGAAGUUACUGAUGGUCAUCUUGUGGAAGUAGUUGAGGACGAUCCCUGGUGUGGUAUUACUGAUGAAAACUUUGCUAAUAUAAAGAUGUCAAGUGUCAAGGGAAAUGAAGAGGGUGGUGAUGUCCCCAGAGCCCGAAGUGCAUAAUCGACAAAUUACUGAUGGUCUUCCUGCAAGUGAUGGUGUUGAGCCCCCCGAGCAAGUGCAUGAAGCAAAUAUGCAACCUGACCUAACAAAAUCAUGUGUCAAAGAAGUUACUAAUGUUGAUGGUUUCAAGGACGAUCCCUGGUGUGGUAUUGCUGAUGAAGACUUUGCCAGUAUAAAGAUGUCCCAGGUUGUGCUCCCUAGACCUUAGGAUAUUAGUGAUGAAGAGGUUGCUAAGAUAAAGAUGUCCCAUAUUGGGCUUCCUAGACCACUCGUCGUGGAAGUUGAAGAAAAAGAUGUGACUCCUGAAAAAUUAGCACGAAAGAAAUUUCCAGGAAAAUUAGCCCAAGAUCCAUAUGUGGGAGAUUUUGAUUCGGGUACAUCCAAGUGUAUUUUUGAUAUCAAGCAUCCUUUCAUGAGCGACAUUGAUGAAUUUAAUCCCUUGUCGAUUUUGGCCCAAGAGUUUGUGGAAUUCGUUGAGGAUGGGAUGAAUAUGACACGACGGUAAAUUUUACUCAUUUUAAGCUUUUUAUGUUCUGGUUUUUUCACUUUUGCAAAUGUCUUGAUGGUGUUCUUUUCUUCAUGAUUUUUAAGCCCCAACACUCUGUAUCGUGACGGAAAAAAUGAUCUCCCUGAAGAUUUUGUUUUUGGCUCGUGUCAUAUAAACAAGAAGGACUGGUUCGAGGCGCUUGCACAUAGUGGUCGACCUUUGAAAGACACGCAUUUGGAUGUCAUAUUUUACUAUCUGAGGAAGAAGGCAAAGUAUGGACCUAAUCUUGCCGUAAAGUUUACUACAACGGACUUUUAUUUCAACAAGAAGCUUUAUUUACUCUAUAUGGAGUUUGAGGAAAAAGGUCAAGAUUUUUCCGUGAUCCCAAAAGAGCAUGAAGUAGAAGAGUACAUUAGAGGUUGUUGUUGUGAUGCAAAUGUAGCUUGGCACAAAGUUGAUCAUGUGUUAUUCCCAAAGUAUGUUGAUAGGGGAAAAUCUAAAUUGGGACAUUGGGUUUUUGGGUGUCUUUACCUUCAGUGAUUGGUGUAUCCAUGUGUACGACUCCCAACGUGAUUCAAAAAAUGAUAAACUUGUUAUGAAAACUCUGUUACCUUAGAAAACAUUGCUACCGUACUUCCUAGAAAAUUCCAAAUUCAAUGUUAAGAGGGGCAUUGACAAAACUCAAAGUGAUGCUUUGCUGAUAAAUCUGGUUGAUAACCUGCCACAACCAAUCAAUAGUGAUUGUGGAGUUUUUGUUGCUAUCUUUGCUAAUUAUUUCGUGCAUGGUAAAGAAAUCAAAAAAGACAAUAUUGACAUUGAGAUACAUUGCACCAGGUAUAAAUCCCUAUUGUGGGAUUAUGGAAGAAAAAAACAAAAGGCCGAUACAAUUAGUGGGACUAAAGAAGUUACUGGCAGAUGGUUUGGGAGGAAGAAGAGGAAACGUGAGGAAAAGUAGGGGCUGCAUAUAAUUGCUUUUUGAAUUUUACUUAGAUGUUUUGAAGUGGUAAUGUAAAGUACAGACAAUGUGAUUUUUAGAAGGGAAUUUGACUAAGCUGUUUUGAUGCAAUACUGUAAAGUACAAUGAUGUUGCUAAUCAAUGAAAUGCACCUUUAUUGUGUACGUUUGUGA